GUGCUGUUCUCUGGGAUUGAGUGUUUGUUUGUUGGAGUUACGUAUCAUAUGUUGGUAGCUUUCUCUGCUGGAGUUUGGAAUCUCAACGUGAAGGAGCUGACCUUACCAGCUGGCAGGCCCAGGUCUCUGAAACCUGUUAUCAUAGUGUCUGUAUCAUUGCUUACCAGAGCUCUAAAGUUAACAGAGCAAAGUGUUUGUAUCUGAGGUUCAGCUUUUCCCCCCCUUGGAAUUUUGAAGGAAAUACAAGAAUGAGAAGAAGGUCCCUAGACUUGAAGUUAACAUGCGUGCAUUGAAAUAUAUAUAAUGCGUAAUAUAGAUGCUGAAGUGUAUGGAAGUUUCCAUGAUUGUAUGUAAAUGUGAAUGAAAUCCCAGCGCAUGGUUUUCUGCUGGGGACACACUGUGUGUAAGCAUUUGCUUGUUGCUGUUCUUGUGUCACUGAUUUAAGGAUGCUUUCAGUAAUUGUUCCUCCUAAAGCACCAUACUUGCGCAUCUAGGAGAUAUUCUAUAACGUUACAGCUCCAUAAAACAGAUGUAAUUGUUCUAUUACUACUGUUAACGUUACCACAAGAUUGCUUUCUCUUUAUCUAUGGAUGAAUUUGUCAGAAUCAGAAAGUGUAUAUAAUUCAUCCUGCCUAAAGAAAGUGGGAUGGUGAGGUAGAUCUUGGCAGGAAUUGUGCAGAAUUCAGACAUGUUUUGAAAUAAAAGGGGAACUGUUGUAAGUUGUUUUGAAAUCAAUAAUGUGAACUCCAUUUUGAUGCCAUUUUAUGUCUGAUAGUAUUUAGUUUUUAUAUCAUAGAUUAUCAGUGACUGAUAAUGAAAAGGAAACUGUUUAAAUAUGAAAGAAAUGAAUGCAAUGCGUUAUUGCUCAUUUUCUGUUCAUGUGCUGACAUACUGUGUUUAUAAUAAAAUCAUUAAUCAAUUUCAAAUACAAAUACUUUUGAACCUCCUUUUCAAAUGAUGGAACACUUUCCUGUUCUCCAAGUUUCAGUGUAAAUCCCAAAGCUCCUUCCUAGUGGUUGGCUUCUUGAGUUUGUAGCCAAAUAAGUAACUCAUUCCCUGAAUGAAUUUGGUGCAGGGGUUAUA